AAUGAACGCUGGCGGCAGGCCUAACACAUGCAAGUCGAACGGAUCCUUCGGGAUUAGUGGCGGACGGGUGAGUAACGCGUGGGAACAUACCCUUUGGUACGGAAUAGCCUCGGGAAACUGGGAGUAAUACCGUAUGUGGUCGAGAGACGAAAGAUUUAUCGCCAAAGGAUUGGCCCGCGUUGGAUUAGGUAGUUGGGGGGGUAAUGGCCUACCAAGCCGACGAUCCAUAGCUGGUUUGAGAGGAUGAUCAGCCACACUGGGACUGAGACACGGCCCAGACUCCUACGGGAGGCAGCAGUGGUGAAUCUUAGACAAUGGGGGAAACCCUGAUCUAGCCAUGCCGCGUGAUCGAUGAAGGCCUUAGGGUUGUAAAGAUCUUUCAGGUGGGAAGAUAAUGACUGUACCACCAGAAGAAGCCCCGGCUAACUCCGUGCCAGCCGCCGCCGUAAAAC
rnacentral:rRNA from 1 species